UCUGGUCGUACAGCGUGCUGACGUGCUCCGUGUUCUUUAUAUUUCUUUUCGGGGCAUGAUUGGUUUGCCGAGUUGAUCCGAACUUUGACCAGCAUAUACGCUGUAAACUGAAGCUAAACUAGCCCGAUUACAUCCUCGCCAGCCGCAACCGGGUAGCGUAUUGAGUACAUAUAGACGACGUUCGCAGGAAGAUGGACCUACGAUGGGUGGUUGGCCUGACCGAUAUAGAAGCAGAAGGAAGGAGAAAGAAUGAUGAAGAUGCGAACAAGUAAAAUGAUGAAGAGCGAAGGAGUAGUGAAAAUUAGUUCACGUUUGUCUCCUGUUCUAAAAUUGAUGUAUUAAUCGGUUCCUUUUGUUGAAUGUUUGAUAUAAAUAUAUCUAAUAUUACUGAAUAAACGUACAUGAAUUUAUAAAAGUAGUAAGUCAGAUAUGGAACCAUACCUGGGCAAAGGUUCAGUAUGUAGAGCCUACAUUAACACAACUUAAUAAUGUAUGUAUGAUAAAGUGA